UAAGACAGGAAGAGUAAGGUAUUUUUCUUCUUGAUUUCGUAUUACAGAAGCAAAUCCUAACUAACUUUAGGAAUCCGAUCUUAUCUUAGGUUAGGAUGUCCUAAAUACUCAAUACUCAAAAAAUCUACUCCUAACUUUUAUGCCUAUUACCUGGCAACCAUUAACACAACUUUUCACCAGAGCCAUACGCAUUUCUCCAAAAAGAAGUGUGCUAAGUAGCAGAUAAAGGUUAGCUUCUACACUCUUAAAACGAAUGUGUUAAAAAUCAACACAUUUCUUGCGUAAUGGUGAUUUCAACAAAUGUGUUAAAUCUCAGCAAUUUUCUGAGGAAAACUGCACAGAAGUUCUAGCCUACACAAAAAUGUAUUAAAUGCAACGGCCAAUCAAAUCAUCAGAUGAGCCAGAUUGCUGUAUCCAGAUGCGUGAGAAGAACCUGCUGCCUCCUCCUCAGUUUGAUUUCUUUACGGUGUAUUUUUUACAACUUGUUGGCGGCGCCAUAUCGGGACUUACACAACCAAGAAUCAAAGUGCUUUAGAGGUCUCAAGAUGCUCACCUGCCCCUGUGAAAUGCAGCGUGAAGUCCACUCUGUCUUACAUCUUGGAAAUACAGCCAACUGGAACAAGCAUCAGUAAUCUGCAAAAUCCUGAAGCCCAGACUGGAGAAAACCAACCCUGCCUUGUCAGCUUAGGACAUCCCAGCACAUCACCCCAAUAUGUCAUCUUACCUAGAAGUGAUCGCGUUGCAAUUCCACUUCUGGAUGAGGGCCUAACGUGCAGUCUGGACAAACUGUUUGAACUGUAUUGGGUAUGCAACCUGGCCUAUCCUGUGCAACUUGCCUCAGUCUUUGGGUUCAUGCAGCAUGUUUAUGGCCUGCCGAUAACCUCUGGUGGGAAGAGGUCCAGAAUCAUGAAGCUUGCUGCAAAGCUCCAAGUACUGUGAGUGAAGUUGCCAUGUACAUUUGUCCAAAUGUGAGACAGAUCUGGACAAUUUUGACUGUACCACUGUGGACAAUGUGGACAUGUCUGUGUGUGAAAAUGUACUCCUCAUCAAACACUACACUGACUGACGUUCAAAAAAGUAUAACUUGCACCAAAGAGUUGCUUGUCAAAACACUGGACUGCUUAAAAGAAGAAAAAAAAUAUAUUUCUGUGCUUAAUAUGUACUCCAAUUUGUGAAAGUAAAGAGGUGCUCAUGUUUCUCAGACUACUAACCGUUAAAUAUUUUGAAGAGCACCUCCACAGGUAAUAGAGAAGAAAGACAAAAUUUGAGAGAUUUUGCAGACAUUUUACUAAUUUAUUUAUUAACUUAUUUAU